rnacentral:ncRNA from 1 species
AAAAUUAUAUGGCAAACUAUGAGAAAUCAUAGGACGCAAAGCUAUAGGGCCUGUAAAAUGGUAGCCAGUUGCACUU